rnacentral:lncRNA from 1 species
GAUGUGAUCGUGAUAAUAGUUAUAAGUCAAGAGGAGGAGGUAUUUUGAUUGUUGUUAAAGACUACAUUAAGGUAACUGUGCUGAAACCCUUGUACAAAUCUAUUGAACAACUUUUUCUUUUAUGCUCAUUUGGUAAAGAAAAUUUUAUAAUUGGAGGGGUAUAUAUUCCACCAAAAUCCGUAGAACAAAUAUAUGAACGACACUGUUUAAUCAUCACAUAAGUUACACUUACAAUAUUAGUUUGUGUGAACGUCAAGGUAAGUCAUUAGAAUAUACUGAAUUUUAUCAUGAUUUUGUAAAUGCAGACUAUGAAGGUCUCAAUAACUAUCUUUCAAUGAUACCUUGGGAAGACCAUUUGAAUUUGUCAAAUGUUGAUGAUGCUUUAACAGAAUUUUACAACAUACUUAAUAUGUCACUAUCAUUGUUUGUACCGGUGAAAAGAUUUGGAACUUCUAGUUAUCCAAAAUGGUUUGAUGCCAACUUGCGUUAUUUAGUAGUACAAAAAAAAA